rnacentral:misc_RNA from 1 species
CGAAAGGGCCCAAUAAAUUGGUCUACGCCAAAAUCAAGUAGAUCAUCAGCCAAGUUGUCAGUUAGGGAUUCAACUGCCUACAUUGUAAAGCAAUCAUGUAUGAUGCCACCUCCAGCAAAGGUUCUGAACAGAACUUGCAAUGGCCAACAAAAGGUCUGUAAAUUAAUGCGAAUGGAUUGGAGCUGGGAAUGUGACAGGCAGGACUAAUAAAAUGCCAUUCCCAGUAGUUGUGAUAGUCCGUGCUGGUGCUGGUGCUGGUGCUGGUGCUGGCGCUGCACGGUCUGCCAAACUAGGUUGUGUACAUAGUGGGGUUGUUGUAGGAACCUGUUGUAACUGUUGGAGGGGUGAACAGGGAUGUUGUAACAUUAAGGAGACCUGUAGUUCACAACAGAGAAAUUCUUUGCCUUGUGUAAAGCAUUUAUGAGGCAAUAGAAAUUUCAGU